AACGAAGCUGUUUUAACUGGUGCUUGCACCGACUUAAACAACUGAGUGGCGAACGGGUGAGUAACACGUGGGUAACCUGCCCCAAAGCGGGGGAUAACAUUUGGAAACAGAUGCUAAUACCGCAUAACCACAGAAACCACAUGGUUUCUGUGUCAAAGAUGGUUUCGGCUAUCACUUUGGGAUGGACCCGCGGCGUAUUAGCUAGUUGGUAAGGUAAUGGCUUACCAAGGCAAUGAUACGUAGCCGAACUGAGAGGUUGAUCGGCCACAUUGGGACUGAGACACGGCCCAAACUCCUACGGGAGGCAGCAGUAGGGAAUCUUCCACAAUGGACGAAAGUCUGAUGGAGCAACGCCGCGUGAGUGAAGAAGGUUUUCGGAUCGUAAAACUCUGUUGUCAGAGAAGAACGUGUGCGAGAGUAACUGCUCGUGCAGUGACGGUAUCUGGCCAGAAAGCCACGGCUAACUACGUGCCAGCAGCCGCGGUAAUACGUAGGUGGCAAGCGUUGUCCGGAUUUAUUGGGCGUAAAGGGAACGCAGGCGGUCUUUUAAGUCUGAUGUGAAAGCCUUCGGCUUAACCGAAGUCGUGCAUUGGAAACUGGGAGACUUGAGUGCAGAAGAGGAGAGUGGAACUCCAUGUGUAGCGGUGAAAUGCGUAGAUAUAUGGAAGAACACCAGUGGCGAAAGCGGCUCUCUGGUCUGUAACUGACGCUGAGGUUCGAAAGCGUGGGUAGCAAACAGGAUUAGAUACCCUGGUAGUCCACGCUGUAAACGAUGAAUGCUAAGUGUUGGAGGGUUUCCGCCCUUCAGUGCCGCAGCAAACGCAUUAAGCAUUCCGCCUGGGGAGUACGACCGCAAGGUUGAAACUCAAAGGAAUUGACGGGGGCCCGCACAAGCGGUGGAGCAUGUGGUUUAAUUCGAAGCAACGCGAAGAACCUUACCAGGUCUUGACAUCU
rnacentral:rRNA from 1 species